GCACUUUAAGUUGGGAGGAAGGGCAUUUACCUAAUACGUAAGUGUUUUGACGUUACCGACAGAAUAAGCACCGGCUAACUCUGUGCCAGCAGCCGCGGUAAUACAGAGGGUGCAAGCGUUAAUCGGAAUUACUGGGCGUAAAGCGCGCGUAGGUGGUUCGUUAAGUUGGAUGUGAAAUCCCCGGGCUCAACCUGGGAACUGCAUUCAAAACUGUCGAGCUAGAGUAUGGUAGAGGGUGGUGGAAUUUCCUGUGUAGCGGUGAAAUGCGUAGAUAUAGGAAGGAACACCAGUGGCGAAGGCGACCACCUGGACUGAUACUGACACUGA
rnacentral:rRNA from 1 species